UACGGGGGGGGCAAGCGUUGUUCGGAAUUACUGGGCGUAAAGGGCCAGUAGGCGGCCAACUAAGUCGGAUGUGAAAUCCCCAGGCUCAACUUGGGAACUGCAUCCGAUACUGGAUGGCUUGAAUUCGGGAGAGGGAUGCAGAAUUCCAGGUGUAGCAGUGAAAUGCGUAGAGAUCCGGAGGAACACCAGAGGCGAAGGCGGCAUCCUGGCACACAACUGACGCUGAGACACGACAGCAUGGGGAGCGAACGGG
rnacentral:rRNA from 1 species